UCCACAAAGACGUCAUCGACUUAAAUGUCACAUUUCAGAGCCUACAAGCCUGUGUUCUGAUUCCCUUUCAGCCAUUCGGAUAACAGUCUCCAACGGAACAAGUACUCGUCUCAGUGAUUCGGGGGGUGCCCGUGGGGCCCCCCCUGAGUUCCUGCCCACAUGGAUCUAAAGCGUACCGGACAGCCUGGUCCAUUGGUGAGUUUGUGGAUAGGAUUCUGGCCUUCUAGCUGGUCGAUAUGGCGCAGAGCACCUUGUCUGGAACCGUCCAGGGAAUUUCGAAGGAGAUGCGGAACAAGCCAGGCCCCUGUUGAGUCCUCCUCCCCCACUACCAUCAGAUUCGAAGGGAACCCCCAUAGCUGCGCAGUCCGAGAAAAAGGUCUACCACUUCGCAAUUCUCAAAUUACGCGAACGGAUGAUCUGGUAUUGCUCGCAUGUCCAGACAGUGUCCUCGGCAGUCAGAUCGCUUCUGCUACUUCGAAGCCAUACCGCCGGUCUUCAAGCAAGGUCGCAGCAUAGGGUGGGUGCGUAUCGAGUGCCCGCUUCUUCGCAUAACUACAGUCCGAGUGAAAAUGUGUACGGGUUUUUGGAUGUGGAUGUGCAUUGAAGUCUAGCAUUGGAAUUAUGCUAUGCAUGCGCUAUAGAUACAAGAUAUACGAGAAGUGAUGUAAACCGCUUGGCAAUAACGUCCCUGGCAUCAUAUUGUAUGCCUGAGAAGGGAAGAUGAUCUCCACCCACUUUACCAUACAAUUGCAAGACGCCACGAAUUUACAUUUUUUAAGAAGGAUAUGGAUUGUAUCCCCGUUUGCUCUAAUCUGUCUAGGGGUCUGUUUAAUAUACACAUGUAUUCAGCAUUAACACUUAUUAAAACCUUUUUAAUUAUUA